GGACUACUCGGGUUUCUAAUCCCAUUCGCUACCCACGCUUUCGUGUUUCAGUGUCAGUAAUGCUCCAGUUUGCUGCCUUCGCUUUUGGUGUUCCCCAUGAUAUCAACGCAUUUCACUGCUACACCAUGAGUUCCGCAAACCCCUCGCACACUCUCAGUCGUACCGUUUCCCCUGCAGAUUCUUAGUUAAGCUAAGAGUUUUAACAGAAGACUAAUACAACCACCUACACACCCUUUACGCCCAAUAAUUCCGGAUAACGCUUGAGGCACUCGUAUUACCGCGGCUGCUGGCAC
rnacentral:rRNA from 1 species